CUACGGGACGCUGCAGUGGGGGAUAUUGCACAAUGGGCGAAAGCCUGAUGCAGCAACGCCGCGUGAAGGAAGACGGAUUUCGGUCUGUAAACUUCUAUCAGCUGGGAAGAUAAUGACGGUACCAGACUAAGAAGCCCCGGCUAACUACGUGCCAGCAGCCGCGGUAAUACGUAGGGGGCAAGCGUUAUCCGGAUUUACUGGGUGUAAAGGGUACGUAGGCGGUUUGUUAAGUCAGAUGUGAAAAUCCGGGGCUCAACCUCGGAACUGCAUUUGAAACUGGCAAACUAGAGUGCAGGAGAGGAAAGCAGAAUUCCUAGUGUAGCGGUGAAAUGCGUAGAUAUUAGGAAGAACACCAGUGGCGAAGGCGGCUUUCUGGACUGUAACUGACGCUGAGGUACGAAAGCGUGGGGAGCGAACAGGAUUAGAUACCCUGGUAGUC
rnacentral:rRNA from 1 species